rnacentral:rRNA from 1 species
CACAUGCAAGUCGAACGAGAACGGUAUAUUCUUCGGAAUAUAUGUCAGCUAAGUGGCGCACGGGUGAGUAACACGUAGCUACCUGCCUCAUAGACCGGGAUAACAGUUGGAAACGACUGCUAAUACUGGAUAUACCCUAAGGGGGAAAGAUUUUAUCGCUAUGAGAUGGGGCUGCGGUGUAUCAGUUAGUUGGUGAGGUAAAGGCUCACCAAGACUAUGACGCAUAACUGGUCUGAGAGGAUGGUCAGUCACACUGGAACUGAGACACGGUCCAGACUCCUACGGGAGGCAGCAGUGGGGAAUAUUGCACAAUGGAGGAAACUCUGAUGCAGCAAUACCGCGUGGAGGAAGAAGCAUUUCGGUGUGUAAACUCCUUUUAUAUUCGAAGAUAAUGACGGUAGAAUAUGAAUAAGCACCGGCUAACUCCGUGCCAGCAGCCGCGGUAAUACGGAGGGUGCAAGCGUUACUCGGAAUCACUGGGCGUAAAGAGCGCGUAGGCGGGUUGUUAAGUUGGAAGUGAAAGCCCACAGCUCAACUGUGGAACUGCUUCCAAAACUGGCAACCUANAAUUUGGGAGAGGUAAGUGGAAUUCCUGGUGUAGGGGUGAAAUCCGUAGAGAUCA